rnacentral:lncRNA from 1 species
GCUUAUUACUCUCUCUCAUGUCUCUACUUCUCGUCCGUUGGCUGACCUUCUCACCAAGCCACUCCCUGGCACCAUUCUGCAUCCUUUGCUGGUCAAGUUGAAGGUGGUUUCCCCCUCCAACUUGAGGGGGGUUAUUGAGCUACAAAAUUAUCUAGCUUCAAAUCCUAUACACAUACAUUGAUUUUCUGAUGUAUAUUUAAUGUAUAUUGCUUGUAUAUCAUGUAUAUCUUGUAGUUGGGCUAGAACAUAUAUUUGAGCCCAUUUUUCUUUUGG